rnacentral:misc_RNA from 1 species
GAAUUGCAGAAUUUCAGUUGAUAUCAUUCGUAAUCUUUGAGACGCACAUUGCGCGCCUCUGGUAUUUCCGGGAGGGCAAUGGCCUGUUUCUGAGCGUUCUAUUUUUCAACCCUCAAGCAUUUGACAUUUUGGGGUAGUUUUUGGAGAGUGUCCAACUGCUUUUUUAACUGGAACAUUGCCCUUUGAAAAAUCAUA